GAAGGUGGCAAGCGUUGUUCGGAAUCACUGGGCUUAAAGCGCGCGUAGGCGGAAAUCCAAGUGUCAUGUGAAAUCCCUCGGCUUAACCGAGGAAUUGCGUGGCAAACUGGAUUUCUUGAGGCAAGUAGGGGUACAUGGAACUCUUGGUGGAGCGGUGGAAUGCGUAGAUAUCAAGAGGAACGCCAAAGGUGAAGACAGUGUACUGGGCUUGUACUGACGCUGAGGUGCGAAAGCGUGGGGGAGCGAACGGGAUUAGAUACCCCGGUAGUCCACGCCGUAAACGAUGUCUACUAGGUUGUGGAGGUUCUGACACCCUCACAGUCGAAGCAAAAGUGUUAAGUAGACCGCCUGGGGAUACGGUCGCAAGGCUA
rnacentral:rRNA from 1 species